rnacentral:pre_miRNA from 1 species
UGGUCGUGAGGAGUUGCAAUUUGUCCACAUGAUAAUAAUCAUCAUAUUGCACUCGUCCCGGCCUGC